UACGGAGGAUGCGAGCGUUAUCCGGAUUUAUUGGGUUUAAAGGGUGCGUGGGCGGGAGCGCAAGUCAGAUGUGAAAACUCAGGGCUCAACCCUGAGCCUGCAUUUGAAACUGUGUUUCUUGAGUGCUGGAGAGGCAAUCGGAAUUCCGUGUGUAGCGGUGAAAUGCGUAGAUAUACGGAGGAACACCAGUGGCGAAGGCGGAUUGCUGGACAGUAACUGACGCUGAGGCGCGAAAGCGUGGGGAGCAAACAGG
rnacentral:rRNA from 1 species